rnacentral:rRNA from 1 species
AUGAAUGUCGACAAGCUGAAGAAGAUGGCCGGUGCCGUGCGCACCGGCGGCAAGGGCAGCGUGCGCAGGAAGAAGAAGGCAGUGCACAAGACCACGACAACCGAUGACAAGAGGCUCCAGAGCACCUUGAAAAGAGUAGGAGUGAACACCAUUCCUGGUAUUGAAGAGGUCAAUAUUUUCAAGGAUGACGUUGUCAUCCAAUUUCAGAACCCGAAAGUGCAAGCAUCAAUUGCCGCAAACACAUGGGUAGUCAGUGGAACACCACAGACGAAAAAGCUGCAAGAUUUACUGCCGACAAUUAUCAACCAACUGGGCCCGGAUAACUUGGACAACCUGCGGAGGCUUGCUGAGCAGUUCCAGAAGCAGAUGCCUGGUGGUGAGGCUGGCGGCGCCAGCAUCGGUGCUGCCCAGGACGAUGACGACGAUGUCCCAGAGCUCGUCCCAGGAGAGACCUUCGAAGAGGCCGCGGAGGAGAAGAAGGAACCCGAGGCGAAGAAGGAACCUGAGCCGGAGGAGAAGAAAGAGUCGUCGUAA